rnacentral:lncRNA from 1 species
GAAAUGCCGCCGCUGCCCCCCCGCCCGUUGUCGGUAGGUGCUCAGGGCGCAAAGCACGGAACGGCAGCGCCGGUGCCGCCCGUGAGCAAGUGCCAGGGCCGAUCCGUGUCAGUAACGGUCCCUGCUGCUGCCGGCUCUGUCCCACCUCCUGAGGCCGCGCUGGGGCCGCGCGGGUCAGUUCCUGCCCUGGGCAUGCCGCCGACCGCGCCCAGCUGGGGGUGUCUCUGCCCGGCCUGGCGCUUCUCACGGCUCAGGGGCCAAAAGGGACGGGCGGAACCUUCCUGGCCGUGGGCAGCGGGCGGGAGCCGCCGCGGCUGGAGCUGGAGGGGCCAGAGAAAGGGAAGGACGGAGAACAUCGAGGGCACAUGGGCAGCAGCCGCCUGGCCCUGCAGGAGGAGAGCGCCUGCCUCUCCGGGGGGAGGUCAGCCAGGCGAGUGGAGUUUCAGAAGAAGAGGAGGGGCAGGAGGAAGGAAGGAGAAAGAAGCAUCUGAUCUGUCCAAUUCUCCCGGCAGUGCCGGGAGUGAAAGCUGCGGUGAGUCCCGGGCCCUCGGGGCCCUGUCGCCCCCCUUGUGUGUCCCAGUCCCUUCCUGCCCCUCUCUUUCCCAUGCUGUGAUUUUUUUUUUUUCCCUUCUCUACCUUUUCUUUCUAUUCUUCUGCCUUGCUCCCCCUUCCUCUCUCACUUUCUCUUGUCUUGCUGCUCCCUUUUCUUUUUCUGUCUGCACUUCUGACUGCUUGUUCUGUACCUUUUGCAUCACUCACCCCUCAGUCCAUUUCUCUCUCGACCCUUCCGUUCUGCUCCUCACUUAUCAGUUUCUCUCUCUUUCCUCUGUCCUACUGCACGUAGUGUGUGAUUGAAUGAGGUUCUGUGCCUAGCAGGCCUCAUCUCGUAAGAGCUGUGAGACGCCUACGUAUUCUCAUAAGUGGAGGUCAGCCAGGCAUCUGGAGCUGUAGAAGAGGAAGGGAGAAGGCAAACAGAAGGAAGAGUCUGACCUGUCAAAUUCUCCUGGCAGCACGGAGAACUGCGGUAAGUCCCGAGCACUCGGGCCCCUCUCAUCCGUCUUGUGUGUCCUGGUCCCUCCCUGUUUUUUUCCUAGACUCCUCUCUUUCUGGUGCUGCUCAACUGUUUUUGCUCACCUGUAUGUUCUGUCUCGCCUGGAGCAUCUCCCUGUCCCCAUCUUGUAGGUCUUCCCUUUCUCUGCCCUGUACCCUGCCGCUCUUGUUGCCUUUCUCCAUCCCUCUGUUCAGCUCCCUGUUCCUAUUGAUUCCUCUUGCUUCUUCCUGCACCCGCUGCUAUUCCCUGCGAUCUCCAUCUCUCUCUUUCCUGCUCCCUGUCCCCAGUUUUUCAUUCCUACCUCCGUCCCUCAUAGCCUGUCUGGCCUUUUUCCUUGGUGUCUUUCUCCCUGGCUGACUCCCUUCUGCUGUUUUUUAUGUUCUCCCUGUCCAUCUUGUUGCCCAUCGCUCUUUUGUCUUCUCUCUCCAUGCGUCUCUGUCUGUCUUCCAUCCAGUCACUGUUCUUUAAUUCCUCCAUCUUCCCUGUAGUUUGCUGCUAUUUUUUUCCCCUGUUCUCCAUCAUGCUCUGUCUGGUGCCUUGUCCCUGUUCAUCAAUUCCUCCCUCUGCCAUGCAGUCUGUCUCUUUUCACCAUUUAAUUUUUGCCUCUCUGUCUGGCUCCUUGUGCCGGGUUUGUGAAUUCCUUCCUCUGUGUCCCAUACCCCCUGUGAUCUUUUCUGUUUUGUGGCCUGUUUCUGGCUGGCGCUCUGUUACUAUUCAGUAAUUCCUCUCUUGAUGCCUUGUAGUCUGUAGCUUUUGUCUUUUCUCCAUCUCUCUGUCUCUGUUUCCCCUCUUUUAGAAUACCCCCCUCUUCUUUCUAUAUGCAUCAGGAUUAGUUUUUGGCUCCAGGUCUCUUUUUUUCCGUGUCUCCGUCCCUGUUUGCUCAUUCUUCCUUCUCUGCCCUGUCACAUGUAGCUAUGUGAUUUGUGUUCCUUCCCUGCCCUUUCCCUCCAUCAUUUGCUGUCCUGACUCCCCAUCACUGUUGCUUUUUCCUCCCUCUGUGCCCUGUUCUUUGUAGCUUUUUUGUCUUUCUCCUAUCUUGCUUGGUCUAGCUCCCUGCACUACCCGCCCUUUUUUUUCCCCUCCAUGGCUGUUGUGCCACCCAUCCUGGCUUUUUUUUCUGCACCUCUAUGCUGCUCCUCAUCCUUCUUUGUUGGUUUCUGUCCUGCUCCUUCUUCCUCUUUCUGUUGCCUCUUCUCUCCCUGCUGCUUUUUUUUUCCUCCGUAUCCAUGUUGGGCUCCCUGUCCCCAUCCUCUCACUGCUCUGUUGCUCACCUCUUGUUUUCUCUCUACCCCCGUACUGGUCAGCCAGCCACCACCUUUCUUCUGUCUUCUUGUGUCCUGCAUCUUGCUCCUCAUGUUUGGCAGUUUCCAGCUCUACCCAGCAGCUUGUUGCUCCAGGAACUGACUGAUUGUUCCUGGCUGGGCUGAGGAGUGUGGCUCUGGGAACAAGUGCCAAGGGCAGCAUUAGCGGCCCUGAGCCCUGGAGCAGACUCACUCCCUUCUGGGACUUGUUCUGUGUGUGACUGAAUAAACACUUGCUGGCUGCCUU